rnacentral:rRNA from 1 species
CCAAUAGCGUAUAUUAAAGUUGUUGCAGUUAAAAAGCUCGUAGUUGAAUUUCGGGAUCAAGUCGUCGGUCGUGCCUCGGUACGCACUGGUGACAUUGGUUUCUCCCUUCUGAAGAACCUUGAUGUCAUUAAUUUGGUGUCUUGGGGAAUCAGGACUGUUACUUUGAAAAAAUUAGAGUGUUUAAAGCAGGCUCACGCUUGAAUACAUUAGCAUGGAAUAAUGAAAUAGGACGUUUGAUUCUAUUUUGUUGGUUUCUAGGAUCGACGUAAUGAUUAAUAGGGAUAGUUGGGGGCAUUAGUAUUCAAUUGUCAGAGGUGAAAUUCUUGGAUUUAUUGAAGACUAACUACUGCGAAAGCAUUUGCCAAGGACGUUUUCAUUAAUCAAGAACGAAAGUUAGGGGAUCGAAGACGAUCAGAUACCGUCGUAGUCUUAACCAUAAACUAUGCCGACUAGGGAUCGGAUGAUGUUAAUUUUUUAAUGACUCAUUCGGCGCCUUACG